UCGGUCGGGCCGGGGUGGGGGGGCGGGGGUCCGCGCACAGCCUCCCGGCGCGGCCCCUGGGGAAGAACGAAGACCCGCGAUCCCCUCAGCCGUGGCUUCUCCCACCCCCACCCCCACCCCCACCCCCACCCUAGGACGGGAGUGGCUGUAUCACUUUGCAUUUCUACCAGCAAUAAAUGAGAAUUCCUGUUGCUCCACUUCCUCACCAGCAUUUGGUAUUGUCGGUGUUCUGUAUUUCAGACAUUCUCAUAGUUAUGCUCCUCUGGAAUGUGAUGUUGCCAUCUUGGACUGUGAGGUUGAAGCCUGGUAGGACAAAACAUUGAGAUGAAUGGAUCCUGGAUUCCUGCAGCAUGGGUUAUCUUGUAAGCUCUAUGCCCAACAUGGGGCCGGAACCCACAACCCAGAGAUCGAGAGUCUCCUGCUCUACUGACAGAGCCAGCCAGGCAUCCCUGAGUUUUUGUUUUUGUUUUCUUGGGUAGAAAAGUAUGGAAAUGAAACGGGGCGGCGAUUGAUCGCCAUACUAACUCCAGUUUAAACUGCUGAGUGUCUCCUGUCUUACUCAAUCCUGCUUCUUGCUCUUCCCUGCUAGCUAUCUUUAAAAUUAUAGUACACCUUGAUGUCAAACUCACCUAAGAUUCAGCAUAUAAUAUUAUAGUUACAGAGGAGUCAAAGAUGAAAAUACAUAGUCCUGUGUUAAAAGAACUUAUACUCUUCAUAAAAUUGAAAAAAUAUAAGACAUAGGUAGCUUAUAUGCCCUCUUGGAUACUGUUGGCCUUGCCUUCUCUGUAUUCCAGCCAUCAACUCCUCCUUGGAAGCUUCUAUGGUAUACCUAUUCUAUGUCUCACAUGAUUCUGCUGUCUGGAUUGAACUAUUUGCUUGUCUAAGAACAUUGGCCUUGGGCAGCCCGGGUGGCUCAGCGGUUUAGCGCUGCCUUCAGCUCAGGGUGUGAUCCUGGAGACCCAGGAUUGAGUCCCAUGUCAGGCUCCCUGCAUGGGGCCUGCUUCUCCCUCUG